rnacentral:rRNA from 1 species
UGAGGAAUAUUGGUCAAUGGGCGAGAGCCUGAACCAGCCAAGUCGCGUGAAGGAAGACUGCCUUAUGGGUUGUAAACUUCUUUUAUACAGGAAUAAAAAGGCUUACGUGUAGGCCAUUGCAAGUACUGUAUGAAUAAGCAUCGGCUAACUCCGUGCCAGCAGCCGCGGUAAUACGGAGGAUGCGAGCGUUAUCCGGAUUUAUUGGGUUUAAAGGGUGCGCAGGCGGGCUUUUAAGUCAGCGGUGAAAUCUGGACGCUUAACGUCCAAACUGCCGUUGAAACUGGGAGUCUUGAGUAUGGAUGAAGUAGGCGGAAUUCGUUGUGUAGCGGUGACAUGCAUAGAUAUAACGAGGAACUCCGAUUGCGUAGGCAGCUUACUAAGCCAUAACUGACGCUCAUGCACGAAAGCGUGGGGAUCAAACAGGAUUAGAUACCCUGGUAGUCCACGCCGUAAAACGAUGAUUACUAGUUGUAUGCGAUAUGAUAGUAUGUGACUAAGCGAAAGCGAUAAGUAAUCCACCUGGGGAGUACGCCGGCAACGGUGAAACUCAAAUGAAUUGACGGGGUCAUAGCUGUUUCCUG